rfam:TPA: Bos taurus chromosome 1, whole genome shotgun sequence.
UCUCCGGUGGUCCAGUGGCUAAGACUCUGCGCUCCCAAUGCAGGGGGCCUGGGUUUGAUCCCUAGUCGGGGAA